rnacentral:ncRNA from 2 species
UACGGAGGGUGCAAGCGUUAAUCGGAAUUACUGGGCGUAAAGCGCACGUAGGCGGUAUGUUAAGUUGGAUGUGAAAGCCCCGGGCUCAACCUGGGAAUUGCAUUCAAAACUGGCAUGCUAGAGUAUGUGAGAGGGGGGUAGAAUUCCAAGUGUAGCGGUGAAAUGCGUAGAGAUUUGGAGGAAUACCAGUGGCGAAGGCGGCCCCCUGGCACAAUACUGACGCUCAGGUGCGAAAGCGUGGGGAGCAAACAGG